rnacentral:tRNA from 1 species
CUGGUGGUCCAGUGGUUAGGACUCUGCAUUUUCACUGCCAAAGGCCCAGGUUCAAUCCCUGGUCAG